rnacentral:tRNA from 1 species
GGGGCGUUAGGUAAACGGGAUACUCUUAUCCUUGCACGAUAAAUUUGUGAGUUCGAUUCUCACACGCUCCA